AUUCAUUCCGAGUUAACACAUUUUUAAUUUUAGGAGGGAGUAAAUAAUUUUGGAAUAAAUACGAGUGCAGGGAUGUUGUUAGUCGUCAAUGUUUCCGAGUCCGAUCGAUCAUCGUUGUCGUCUCCACUCUUGUUGAAAUUCAACGUGACUUCCAAUCAUUUCCAUAAAGAUGGAUCGCCAAACAGCUGAAGAUAGAAAUAAAACAAAUCAAUGUAAUAAAGAUCACCCUAAAACUGGUCCGGGGAGACCACAUGCAUACCAGGGAACCGGUGACAAGCCCGAUAAUGAUAACCGUUCAAAGCAGAUGAAUUCUGAAAACGAACUUUAUCCAAAAAAAUGAAGGGUGCAUACAAUGGACUUAUAAACAUUUUAUAUUUUGAUAAAAAAUAAAUCAACAAUCAUUAUACA